rnacentral:rRNA from 1 species
CCUACGGGAGGCAGCAGUGAGGAAUAUUGGUCAAUGGACGAGAGUCUGAACCAGCCACGUAGCGUGAAGGAUGACUGCCCUAUGGGUUGUAAACUUCUUUUAUAAAGGAAUAAAACGAGGCAAGUGUGCCUUUUUGCAUGUACUUUAUGAAUACGGAUCGGCUAACUCCGUGCCAGCAGCCGCGGUAAUACGGAGGUUCCGAGCGUUAUCCGGAUUUAUUGGGUUUAAAGGGAGCGUAGAUGGGUUGUUAAGUCAGUUGUGAAAGUUUGCGGCUCAACCGUAAAAUUGCAAUUGAUACUGGCAGUCUUGAGUACAGUUGAGGUAGGCGGAAUUCGUGGUGUAGCGGUGAAAUGCUUAGAUAUCACGAAGAACCCCGAUUGCGAAGGCAGCUUACUAAACUGUGACUGACAUUGAUGCUCGAAAGUGUGGGUAGCAAACAGGAUUAGAUACCCGAGUAGUC